UAAAACGUAGGUGGCGAGCGUUAUCCGGAUUUACUGGGCGUAAAGGGUGUGCAGGCGGGCUGUUAAGUGGUGUAUGAAAUAUCCCGGCUCAACCGGGAAGGGUUAUGCCAGACUGGCAGUCUAGAGAGCGAGAGAGGGACGUGGAAUUCCGGGUGUAGUGGUGAAAUGCGUAGAGAUCCGGAGGAACCCCAGAGGCGAAGGCGGCGUCCUGGCUCGCAUCUGACGCUCAGACACGACAGCAUGGGGAGCGAACGGGAUUAGAAACCCCGGUAGUCCAUGCCGUAAACGAUGCCAACUAGGCGCUGGCGGUCUCAACCCCGUCGGUGCCGCAGCAAACGCGAUAAGUUGGCCGCCUGGGGAGUACGGUCGCAAGGCUA
rnacentral:rRNA from 1 species